CCCCGGUCGUUAUAUACGCCCCUCGAAUUUACGUAAGAAACAAAUGAAUGUCGCUAGACUUUAAGCAUCAGUUGUACCGUCGAACGCUGUCAAGUGUGGUUCUACAGUCGCUAACAUUGUGGGUUUCUGUUGCUCAGUUCCAGGUUGAUUCUAUUUUUACCUGUCAAGCGAGACUGCGACGAGGGAAUCGAUUGAAGCCACAACGGAAACUCCUUGUACGUUAUUAAAAAGGAUAAUGGUGUAAUGUCUUACCAACUUGCACAUCGUCUCUCCCAGGAUCCAAGCUGCAACAUGCACUUUGAUGCACUUAUCCCGACAUGAAGGAAAUUAGUGCAACGAUUCGAAAGUGAUGGAUGCACACGGACAGACAACAACUCGUUUAUUUUGAUUUCGUCGUAGACGAAAUCCAUCGUCAACUGUCUGUGUUUUGUUUAACAACUGAACUGAUUCGAGGGCAAUGUUUGACAGGGAUAAACGUCCAUGACUAAAUCUACCGGUGCCGAAUCAGGAGGGGGAAAAGUAGCAAAGGAAGUCUGAGAGGGGAGUUGAAAGUGGAGUGUCGUGACGGCGCGUGAGUGGCGUUUGAGUUAUUAUAGCAAACUACAGCUCGAUAACGUGAUAUCCUAUCGUAGCACUCACAUCUAUCUACAGCCUUACAUCUUUGAUUUGCGGAUAAUUUGAUUAGAUUUACGACUUGGGCUAAUUGAAAUUGACGUUCAAGAACUGUCUUGUUUAUGCUACCUGAAAAAUUGUCUGGAAGAAGGGUUAAGCCAUCUCGUUAAGUUUAACCCACGAUGGAUUACAUAACGACGCCACCCGCCAAGAAACAUAAUCCUUACAUCACGCUGCGCAACUAACGACCUCGACAAGAGAACGCUUCCAUAUUAACGUCACAAUUCAGGAAAAUGUCAGCUAUUAUGUUUAACAAAGUUUCUCGAUUCAACUACUCUGACAAGUUAAGACCAUCCUGCACUCAUUGCCUGGCUUUUUUCGUUUUUGUGUAAAGAUCACAUUACAACAGCCCUCAGUCUAAAUUGCUGUACAAUCAAUCUGACGGGGAGCGUGAGAUCGUCGGCAAUCAAAUUAGGAUUCUUUGAAGAUCUAAUGGAUAAGCAGGUGGUUUUGUGGUCGUGGGAACCGUAACGUGUGAGGGCUAAUGCUCUUAUUUAAUGGCAUUUAUUUUUAGUGUUUUCCUUUUCUUUAGAGUGGGCUGAUGCAGCGAUUUUUCCCGAGUAACAAAAUUGGAUGGAAGAAAACGUCUUAUAAACCGGUAAUAAGUCCUACAGAUAAAAGGGGUGAUUUAGCCGUCAUAGUUACAUGUUAUAGUUGACGAUGACAUCUAGGUCUUUUCAGGCAGGGGAAGUUGAGGGGGGUAUUCUCUUUUCUUAGAGGGAAGCGGACGACUACUGUGCAUUGAAUGGAUGUAUUAUGUUUGGAAUGGAAGAAGUCGUACAAGUUAUUCAAUAAGGGAAUGAAAAAGACGGGGAAUACUGCAUAUUUUUUAUUUUAUCUCCUUCCCAAUUUUCAUUUCCGCCGUCUUGCAUUCGUACCACUCUCUACAUGCCAUUACUUUUGUCGUAGUGCUUGAAAAUUGUAUUGCGAAGUCGGAUUUCUAGAUGCUCGCAUUCUCCGGCCUGAAUGUUAGUAUAGUUUAUAUCCCAUAGUCAGACGUGUCAAAUCCGACCGCAAUUCCUCCCUCUCCCCUCCUCCGUAACACCACUAAAUUUCCCGAUAGCCGGAACGUGAAAAAGGAACUGUCAUUUGGAGCCAAAGUAUGUUUGGAUUUGGACAAAUCGUUGGUUUGAUGCGUUCGACGAAGUGAAGCAAUCCUUUCUAACGAAUUUGUUGAUGUAUAUUUUUAAAAAUUCGUCCUGAGUUUGGCAAGAAUUACUUUAAACAUUCACUUUGUUUUUCAUGUCACAUCGGUGACGCUGCUUUGAUCUAUGUGAAAAAUCCAGCUACAAGCUUUACUCGCAUGGCCAAAACAGAAAUUCGAGUGGGUCUUGGACAAUUUACAUCGUGGGCUUUAUUGAAUUCUUUGAACUUUUAAACUGAAAAAUCCCUGGUUCGAUGGGAACGUGCAAUGAAAUCCUGGACAGUUGAGGUAAAAAUAAUAUGUCGCCAUUCUAAUCUUUUUUUCCACCCACGUAUUGUGUGUAUGUGUCUGACAGUUUGAAAAGCGGGGAAAAACUCAGCGAAGUAUUAAAGAAACGACUACAAGCUAUGCAAAUACUUUAUAUAAUGUAAGAGUUGUGUGUUAUUCUUUUCGGUUUUGUACAAAAACUUAUCGCUCGACAUUGUUAUUCCCUUUCUUAUAACAUGUUUUUUUUAUUGUUAAUUAGGUUCACCAAAAAAUAGAGGCUGAAAGACUGUUGUGAUGUUAACAAACCGGACGGCAAUCUGUUGACAAGAGGGUGGAAACUUGCGAUCAAUAUUGGGAUAUCUGCGUUUUCGUCAAGUGACGGCGGGAUGGAAAGCUCAGUUCUCACAUGUCAUUGAAUGCCAACAUUUGAACACUACAACAACCGAACCCUUUAUUUCCGUCUUUUUUUACUGCCAACAAAAGCCUUAUGCCCUGCGGACGCCAUCAGUAGGCAUUA